rnacentral:lncRNA from 10 species
AGUUCUUUCAGCUUAAUAAAAACCCUAAUUGAGGAGUCUCUAGCUGCUUGCUCACACCUGCUUUUACUCUGUGAGUUGUACUUUUGCUUCUUCAAUAAAUCUGUGCCUUUGUUACUCCGUUCUUUUGUUGUUUUGCUUGUGCGUUUUGUUUAAUUCUUUGUUUGAAACCCCAAGAACCUGGACAACUCACAGUCAAGACCUUCCGUCCGGUAACAAAGCAACAGACCUCAGUCAUGUCAUCUGCUUACAAAGGAGCCACGGGUAUCGCUCUGCCUCCCAGGCUGGAGUGCAGUGGCACAAUCACAGCUCACUGCAGCCUCGACCUUCUCGGCUCAAGCAAUCCUCCUACCUCAGCCUCCUGAGUAGCUGGGAUUGCAGGCAUUCAUCACCACACCCAGCACCAGGCCCAGAGGCCUACCUGCAGAACCAGGAGCCUUCCCAGAGAUGCCUGUUGAUGGAUGGCUACACUGAGAACCUGAAAUAGCGUGCAAAUAACUCUCUUCUCUGUACUUGAAGCCAAAUCGCAUUCCCAGGCAGACAUAUCCAGCGGGGAAAGAAGAAACAAGAAAAUGAAUGAUCCACUUGCACAAGAAUCUCUCCUAUGAGCAAGUGUUAGAAAUCCAUUGCUUGCUAAUGUUUGUUUGUUUGUUUUUGGAGCUGGUGUCUGGAGCUGGUUCUCCACCUGUUGUGAGUUCCUGGAAAGAUCUCAAGACCUAUCCCAUUUUCCUCCUAGUGAAGGUUGAUAUUCAUAAUAGUUGACACUCAGUACAGCACAGACACCGACCAAUUCAAACUGACAGAGGUCUUAAGCAAUUUUCAUGACAAUAUUGGUGUAUAGAGCUGAAUAUUUGUUCUACACAUAGAAGGCAUCCAAUAAAAAAUUUUGAAUUGAAUUUUAUUGGUUUAGUAGUCCUGGCUGUGGUAUCUAAUGGCCUUCUUUCAGAAGUCAGGCAGCUUUUAAUUUUUUUGUCCAAAUAUGAUCAUAAUGAUUUCUUUUCCU